rnacentral:rRNA from 1 species
CGCAUCUGUGCAUGCAGCAUAUCAAUAAGCGGAGGAAAAGAAACUAACAAGGAUUCCCUUAGUAACGGCGAGCGAAGCGGGAAGAGCUCAAAUUUGAAAUCUUAAAGGGUUUCCCUUUACGAAUUGUAGUUUAAAGAAGUGUUUUCUGUUGAGGUUUUGGUAAAAGUUCUUUGGAAUAGGACAUCAUAGAGGGUGAGAAUCCCGUAUUUGACCAUUAUUUUCAACUUUGUGAUACACUUUCAAAGAGUCGGAUUGUUUGGGAAUGCAGUCCAAAAUGGGUGGUAAAUUUCAUCUAAAGCUAAAUAUUGGCGAGAGACCGAUAGCGAACAAGUACCGUGAGGGAAAGACGAAAAGAACUUUGAAAAGAGAGUUAAACAGUACGUGAAAUUGUCAAAAGGGAAGCGUUUGACACCAGUGUUGUUUUUCUGAAAGUCAAUUAAAGAACUGUUUAUGCUAAGCUGUUUAGACUUUAUCAGCUAAUCUGUUUAGUUUUGAGCUUUUCUUUAAUGCACUUUUCAGUUAACAAGUCAACAUCAAUUUCUUUUGCUGUAAAAAAGCUUGAGGAAGGUGGCUUGAGAUUCGUCUUAAGUGUUUAUAGCCUCUUGCCUAUGCAGUCGGAGAGAUUGAGGUCUGCAGCGUAGAUCCUUCGGGGCUAAAUGCAUUUGUGCUAAGUUAUAGCAUUUUAUAGACAACUUGUUGACUAUGAUUUGUCUUGUAGCUUACUCGCUUAUGUUAUUUUACCUACGCUUAGGAUGUUGACGAGACUGUCGAUCUC